UGUUCUCACUUCUCAACUGCCUCUCUCUCUCUCUCUCCGGAGAGCACUGCCGUAACGGAACGCCGGCGAACGGCCACCGCCGUCCACUGUCCGUACAGGCACUGGUAGCUGCUAACGUGCGCCGGCAUAGCAAUGUUGAAUUGUGGCAAUCACUUGGUGGUAUUGGUGCCUGUUGUGCUGGUUCUCUUCCACUCUCUUCUUCUGCUACCUUAUUCCUCGCUCGCUAUCCGACCCGUCGAGUUGGAUCCGGGUCGGGUCGAACUCGUCAACGCGACCGAGUCCAAUGUCUCUCUGUCGAAGCCUAGGGAAGGGAGCUUCGCAGAAAUGAUUGAUCGAGCCCUGGAGAACGAGUUCCCCGAGAACGAUCAAAACGAAGCAGUAGCUGAUUCGGGAAGCUUCAACAACAGUGUAGCAGAACAACAGGCUGUUCUGGAAACUGUGGCCAGAGUCAAGUCAAACAAGAAUGACACAGAAGAUGACAAGUCAUUUCAACUCCAUCAUGUAUUCAAUAGAGCUGAAGAGACCCCAAUGUUGAUAGAUCGAAAGGACAAUGUCUUUAUCAUUUCUAAUUUUAAAUCCAAGUAUCCGGUGCUGCAGCUAGAUUUACGACUGAUUUCAGACCUGGUAGUUGCUAUUGUUUCGGCGACUUGUGGUGGUGUGGCAUUUGCUCUGGCUGGACAACCGGUCAUAACUGGAUAUCUUCUAGCUGGCUCAAUAGUUGGACCUGGUGGCUUUAACUUCAUCAGCGAAAUGGUGCAGGUGGAAACAGUGGCUCAAUUUGGUGUUAUAUUUCUUCUGUUUGCAUUGGGCCUGGAGUUCUCCGCAACAAAGCUUCGAGUUGUUCGUGCUGUUGCUGUUCUUGGAGGCUUACUUCAGAUUUUUCUAUUUAUGUGCAUGUGUGGACUAACUGUGUCGUUGUGUGGUGGUAAAGCUUCAGAAGGUGUUUUUGUUGGUGCUUUCCUUUCUAUGUCUUCAACGGCAGUGGUUUUGAAGUUUUUGAUGGAAAAGAACACUGCUAAUGCCCUUCAUGGACAAGUCACAAUUGGGACCCUUAUUUUGCAGGAUUGUGCUGUUGGAUUGCUUUUUGCAUUGCUUCCAGUCCUGGGUGGCACCUCAGGUGUUUUUGAAGGAGUGUUAUCCAUGACAAAGCUGUUGGUGACAUUGAUUGCAUUCCUCUCUGUUCUGUCAAUUUUGUCUCGCACUGGCCUUCCAUGGUUGCUUAAACUGAUGAUAAGCCUAUCAACACAGACAAAUGAACUCUAUCAGUUGGCGUCAGUUGCAUUCUGCUUGCUUGUAGCCUGGUGUAGUGAUAAGUUGGGACUAAGUCUAGAACUGGGUUCUUUUGCUGCUGGAGUGAUGAUUGCAACCACUGAUCUGGCUCAACAUACACUAGAGCAAAUUGAACCUAUCCGCAAUCUUUUCGCUGCUCUUUUCCUUGCCAGCAUUGGAAUGCUGAUUCAUGUUCAUUUUCUCUGGAACCAUGUUGAUAUUUUGGUAGCAUCUGUAAUUUUGGUGAUCGUUAUAAAAACAAUCAUAAUUGCUUCUGUUGUGAAAGGAUUUGGUUACAAUAACAAGACUUCAAUACUUGUUGGAAUGUCACUGGCACAAAUAGGAGAAUUUGCAUUUGUUCUUCUCAGUCGUGCUUCUAAUCUUCAUCUAGUUGAGGGUAAACUAUAUCUGCUGCUUCUUGGGACCACGGCUCUUAGUCUGGUAUGAAAUGAUUUUCAUUUGUUUGAAUUAACAGUUAUUAGGUUCCAUAACCGACCCAUGUUUUUCUAGCUUUCUUUUGUCUUUGAUCUAAUGGAUGUUCAAGAACCGAAUCUAUGCAAACUUCAUUCUGAAUGGAAGUUCUUACUUUUCCUUCAUUAUGUAUUUUUAGCACAUUAGGAUUUCUACGAUUCUCUAUCUUGUGCAUUUCUAUCUUCUUGCUGAAAGAUAAGUUGGUGGACAAAGAACCAGUUUCUGUAAUAAUUUUUUGUUGUCUCAUACUUGCAUAUGACUGUGCAGGCAACGGAUAUGUAAAAUGCUGAAGGUUAUUCAAGUUGCAUGGAUACUAUUGGGGGUUAUGGAUCUUGAAAUGCAGUAAACUUGCUCACACACAAAUUUAGCUGAUAACCUUAAAGUGCAAAGAAAUGGCUGGAGGCCAAUUAUAACUUAUUAUAAUGUUUCAUCUUUCAAAAUGAAUGCUCUUUUAUCCCAAAAAAUAAAUAAAUAAAUAAAAAUGAGUGUUAGCAAACUCUGAUGUGGGGCUAACUUCUCUAAACUGUACUAGGUUACUUCAUCUACAAGUUCACCAAACAUCUAACUGUAAACAACUAUUAUUAUGAAGUAGUAAUAAAUGAUCCCGUUAAUAAUAUCUUAGCUCAUUUCUGCAGGUGACAACUCCUUUACUUUUCAAGCUAAUUCCUGCUGUAGUGCAUCUUGGUGUGCUAUUGAGGUGGUUCUCUCCUGACAGUAUAGUGGAGAUUGGAUAUAAGGUGGAUAACCUCCGCUCAGACAGUGCCAAACGUAUUCCGUGAUGGAUACUUGCUUACCGAACUGACCAAAUACUAACCAAGGCAACUAAUCCGAACCCCAUAAAUGGAAAGAACGGGGAAAGAGGAAGGACAAAAUACUGAAAGAAAACUGACAAGAAGACGUACAGAUGAAGUUAUGUUGAAGAUAUUCAUUCCACAACUCCACUUGACAUUCAUUUUUUUUCUUCUUUUUGGCUGGGGAUGCUCAUAAAUGUAUGAUAUGGUUUCUACUAUGUAAUCUGAAUUGCCAUUGUCCUUAUUUUGGCAAGCUUAGUUUGACUGUAUCAAACGUUUCCUUUCUAGCAUCUGCGCCAUCAGUUGUGUGGCUGGGCUUUGUAUAUCUAAGGCAAUUUGCAUUUGUGCUUUUGGACAGAGCAACUGAUACGUAUGUGUGUAUAAAUUAUA